rnacentral:lncRNA from 1 species
GUCUCAUGCAAAUUUGUCGUGUAGGAAAGAGGUUGGUGGAUUACGUCAGGUGAAAUCCUCAGCUGCAUCCUGAUCAAGGUAUAAAAAGUCAGUCUGAAGCACAAUAUAGCAAUACUCCUACUUUGCCUUACAGGACAGAAGUUGUACAAGUGAAGAAUGAAUAUCUCUGCUCUGUUGGUGUUUAUUUCUGCUGUCAUGUCUGUUUAUGGGUGUUAUGAACUGCCCUGCUCUGACUGCAAUCAUCCUUGUACUGCUGAUCGCUUGAGAAACGUCACAGAACAAUUACUCGAGCACAUGAGCUUUACUGACUGCAGACAGAACAAACACUUUUCAAGAAGAACCAAUCCUACUUGGAAGUGCGACUUAACUACAGAUAUGGACAGGUUUCUGCCAGUCUAUAACGCCACAUGUAACAAGUGCAAAGACCCAAGUUCUUUCAAAGAAGUGCCGAUUUUGCAAACUAUCAACAUGUUAUUCAAACAGAGCUGCCCGAGCACUUAUAAUCACAAUCUCUUCAUAUUAUCUGUAAAACCAGUCACAAUCUCAUUAGGCUGUACGUGUGUAAAGAAACAUCACGGCUUUGGACAAUUUCCCUUUAGGCAAACUCAUUAAAAUCUCUCAACUGCAACCUGUUCGCA